rnacentral:rRNA from 1 species
CCUACGGGAGACAGCAGUGGGGAAUAUUGGGCAAUGGGCGCAAGCCUGACCCAGCAACGCCGCGUGAAGGAAGAAGGCUUUCGGGUUGUAAACUUCUUUUGUCAGGGACGAAGCAAGUGACGGUACCUGACGAAUAAGCCACGGCUAACUACGUGCCAGCAGCCGCGGUAAUACGGAGGAUGCGAGCGUUAUCCGGAUUUAUUGGGUUUAAAGGGUGCGCAGGCGGCGUGUCAAGUCAGCGGUAAAAUGUCGGGGCUCAACCCCGGCCGGCCGUUGAAACUGGCGUGCUCGAGUUGGAGAGAAGUAUGCGGAAUUCGUGGUGUAGCGGUGAAAUGCAUAGAUAUCACGAAGAACCCCGAUUGCGAAGGCAGCAUACCGGCUCCACACUGACGCUGAGGCACGAAAGCGUGGGUAUCGAACAGGAUUAGAUACCCGUGUAGUC